GACGAACGCUGGCGGCGUGCCUAAUACAUGCAAGUCGAACGCAGUGGGGACGGGUGAUUAACACGUGGGUAACCUCCCAUCAGAGGGGAUAACACGUGGAAACAGGUGCUAAACCGAUACUGAUGUAGGGACCCGAGGUGCAUUAGCUAUAUGGUGAGGUAACGGCUCACCAAGGCCACGAUGCAUAGCCGGCUUGAGAGGGUGAUCAGCCACACUGGGACUGAGACACGGCCCAGACUCCUACGGGAGGCAGCAGUAGGGAAUCUUCGGCAAUGGACGAAAGUCUGACCGAGCAACGCCGCGUGAGUGAAGAAGGUUUUCGGAUCGUAAAACUCUGUUGUUAGAGAAGCGGUAUCUAACCAAAAAGCCACGGCUAACUACGUGCCAGCAGCCGCGGUAAUUC
rnacentral:rRNA from 1 species